CUGUUUCCUUUUUGUUGUUAGGAGUCGGAUAUAAGUCCAUGUAUUAGCAUUCUGUUUUCUUUUUGUUGUUAGGAGUCGGAUAUAAGUCCAUGUAUUGGAAUUCUGUCUCCUUUUUGUUGUUAGGAAUCGGAUAUAAGUCCAUGUAUUGGCAUUCUGUUUCCUUUUUGUUGUUAGGAGUCGGGUGUAAGUCCAUGUAUUGGCAUUCUGUUUCCUUUUAUUGAGGAUCUCUUU
rnacentral:lncRNA from 1 species